rnacentral:rRNA from 1 species
AUGACUCAGCUCCAAGCUGCUCCGCUCAAAACCCUAAGCUUUUCCGGCGCGGCGGUGCGGCCGCGGCAUGCGACGGCGACGUGCCGGUGCUCGGCCGCGGACCGGAGCUACAGCAUUACGCUCCUCCCGGGCGACGGCAUCGGCCCGGAGGUGGUCGCCGUCGCCAAGGACGUCCUCUCCGUCGCCGGCGCCAAGGAAGGCGUGGAGCUCCGGUUCCGGGAGAUGCUGAUGGGCGGCGCGGCGCUGGACGCCGUCGGGGUGCCGCUCCCCGACGAGACGCUGGCGGCGGCGCGGGCCUCCGACGCCGUCCUGCUCGGCGCGAUAGGAGGGUAUAGGUGGGAUAACAAUGAGAAGCAUCUCAAGCCCGAGACCGGGCUGCUCAACAUCCGUGCCGGGCUCGGUGUGUUUGCCAAUCUGCGCCCAGCCACCGUGUUGCCGCAGAUCGAUCGUAUUGCACGUGUUGCAUUUGAGGUUGCCCGCAAGAGAGGAGGGAAACUAUGCUCGGUGGACAAAGCGAAUGUUCUUGAGGCAUCUAUGCUUUGGAGGAAGAGGGUCACUGCAAUAGCUUCUGAAUUCCCUGAUGUUGAGCUGUCACACAUGUAUGUUGAUAAUGCUUCGAUGCAGCUUGUUUGGAAUCCUAAACAGUUUGACACAAUUGUAACGAACAAUAGUUAUGGUGACAUAUUGUCGGACGAAGCAUCCAUGAUCACAGGAAGCAUUGGAAUGCUCCCAUCUGCUAGUGUUGGUGAAUCGGGACCGGGUCUAUUCGAACCUAUCCAUGGCUCUGCCCCUGACAUUGCUGGGCAGGACAAGGCAAACCCGCUAGCUACAAUUCUUAGUGCUGCGAUGCUACUGAAAUAUGGCCUCGGUGCUGAAAAUGCUGCCAAGAGAAUCGAAACCGCGGUUACGGAGACAUUGGACAAUGGGUUCCGAACAGGGGACAUAUAUUCUCCUGGAACGACACUGGUCGGGUGUAAGCGAAUGGGUGAGGAGGUCCUGAAGGCUCUGGAGUCGCAGAAGUAA